GACGAACGCUGGCGGCGUGCCUAAUACAUGCAAGUAGAACGCUGAAGGAGGAGCUUGCUUCUCUGGAUGAGUUGCGAACGGGUGAGUAACGCGUAGGUAACCUGCCUGGUAGCGGGGGAUAACUAUUGGAAACGAUGGCUAAUACCGCACAAGAGUAGAUGUCGCAUGACAUUUGCUUAAAAGGUGCAAUUGCAUCACUACCAGAUGGACCUGCGUUGUAUUAGCUAGUUGGUGAGGUAACGGCUCACCAAGGCAACGAUACAUAGCCGACCUGAGAGGGUGAUCGGCCACACUGGGACUGAGACACGGCCCAGACUCCUACGGGAGGCAGCAGUAGGGAAUCUUCGGCAAUGGACGGAAGUCUGACCGAGCAACGCCGCGUGAGUGAAGAAGGUUUUCGGAUCGUAAAGCUCUGUUGUAAGAGAAGAACGAGUGUGAGAGUGGAAAGUUCACACUGUGACGGUAUCUUACCAGAAAGGGACGGCUAACUACGUGCCAGCAGCCGCGGUAAUACGUAGGUCCCGAGCGUUGUCCGGAUUUAUUGGGCGUAAAGCGAGCGCAGGCGGUUAGAUAAGUCUGAAGUUAAAGGCUGUGGCUUAACCAUAGUACGCUUUGGAAACUGUUUAACUUGAGUGCAAGAGGGGAGAGUGGAAUUCCAUGUGUAGCGGUGAAAUGCGUAGAUAUAUGGAGGAACACCGGUGGCGAAAGCGGCUCUCUGGCUUGUAACUGACGCUGAGGCUCGAAAGCGUGGGGAGCAAACAGG
rnacentral:rRNA from 1 species